rnacentral:lncRNA from 1 species
GAAAGGAGGUUUUUUUGUGAAGGAACUACCAAAUAAUUGUUGCAAAAUUGGACCAAAUCAUUUUUAUAAAAUACUAGGCCAUAUUUAAUGCACAAUUGACAAAAUGGUUGGGUGUAAAAAAAAUUUAUCCACCUCUCGUGAAAAAGACAAAUUUCCGCCGAUUCAGCUGGAAGCGGGUCAAAUUUGAACUGCAGCUGCCUCAUAGUUUGCUAUUUAUUUUUUCCAAAAAUCAUUUCUAGGUACAUAAGUAUCUAUUUAAUCAGAUAAACACCAAAAGUUUUCCAAGAUUCAACCACUAGCUAGGAACGGUCAUUCCCGCCGUUUUAACCACAUUUUGAAACGGGCAUAAAAAAAUCAAAAAAACAAUAAAAUGGGAAACCUUCGCAUUGUGUCAUCAUAUGUCGCCAAGUUCCUAGGAAAAAUAACAAACUUGUAAUACGGUAAUUAUUAUAAAGAAGUGUUCUCAGAAAUGAGCUAUCACGUGUGGAGAUCAAUGGCUUUCAAGCCAAAUGAUCAAUCUUAUGGCCACAUUCAUGGCACAGUUUGUUCAAAUGUUCUCAUAUUGUGCACAAGAGUGCAUAUUGGAAUGACAAACAAUGUUGCCUAAGGAAGUUUUCAUUUCCGUUGGACGAAAAAACCAUUUUCCAUUUUUCGAGUGCCCGAAAGGAGGUUUUUUUGUGAAGGAACUACCAAAUAAUUGUUGCAAAAUUGGACCAAUUCAUUUUUAUAAAAUACUAGGCCAUAUUUAAUGCACAAUUGACAAAAUGGUUGGGUGUAAAAAAAAUUAUCCACCUCUCGUGAAAAAGACAAAUUUCCGCCGAUUCAGUUGGAAGCGGGUCAAAUUUGAAGUGCAGCUCCCUCAUAGUUUGCUAUUUAUUUUUUCCAAAAAUCAUUUCUAGGUACAUAAGUAUCUAUUUAAUCAGAGAAACACCAAAAGUUUUCCAAGAUUCAACCACUAGCUAGGAACGGUCAUUCCCGCCGUUUUGACCACAUUUUGAAACGGGCAUAAAAAAUUCAAAAAAAAACAAAAAAA